AUUCCUGUCUUUUACGCUGCACAAAUUUACUUGUUGCUGGCUUUGAAUGGAGUAAGCAUGCAGAGCUGAGUUAAUCUGCAGACUCAACCUGGUGCUGAAGGUCUGAAGGAUUCUUAGAGUGUCACUCAUCUAUACUCUGCAUUAGAAGACUGAAGAAACUGGGUUCUGUUGCUAUCUGAAGUAUUAUAGCAGCUGCAACAACAAAGGCGUAGACACAGCAUUCACCAGCAAGAAGGGAAGAGAUCUCCGAGCUCUGAUGGUACUGAGGACUCCAAAGUCUCUCAUUUUCUUCACCUCGUCCAGUUGUGGGCCUUGGGGUUAAUUGCCAUCUACUACAAGAAGACCCUUCUCUGAUGGAGCCGAACAGUCGUCUC